CAUGCGUGACAUUAGCUAGUUGGUGAGGUAACGGCUCACCAAGGCUACGAUGUCUAGGGGUUCUGAGAGGAAGAUCCCCCACACUGGUACUGAGACACGGACCAGACUCCUACGGGAGGCAGCAGUGAGGAAUAUUGGUCAAUGGGCGAGAGCCUGAACCAGCCAUCCCGCGUGCAGGAAGAAUGCCCUAUGGGUUGUAAACUGCUUUUUCGCAUGAAGAACACCUCUGACGUGUCAGGGGCUGACGGUAAUGCGUGAAUAAGCACCGGCUAACUCCGUGCCAGCAGCCGCGGUAAUACGGAGGGUGCAAGCGUUAUCCGGAUUUAUUGGGUUUAAAGGGUGCGUAGGCGGCUUUUUAAGUCAGUGGUGAAAUCCUGCAGCUCAACUGUAGAACAGCCAUUGAAACUGAAGAGCUUGAGUAAUCUUGAGGUAGGCGGAAUGUGUAGUGUAGCGGUGAAAUGCUUAGAUAUUACACAGAACACCGAUUGCGAAGGCAGCUUACUAAGGAUUUACUGACGCUGAUGCACGAAAGCGUGGGGAUCAAACAGGAUUAGAUACCCUGGUAGUCCACGCCGUAAACGAUGAUAACUCGCUGUUGGCGAUACACAGUCAGCGGCUUAGCGAAAGC
rnacentral:rRNA from 1 species